UGGAUAUUUUAUAUGAGAUUUAUUCAAGUGACUUACAGACUUUGGUUUGAGUAGUCCAACAAUGGGACUUCUGGAGGGAAAGAAAGAUCAGGAUCUGGUGGUUUGGUUCACUGGCUGUCGCAGCAGUCCAGAUUGGUGUCAGAGGACUGAGAAGAUCUAGAGGGCUGCCCGUUUCCAUCUAGGGUGAAGUCCCACGAAGUAGGCACUAGCACCAGCACAAAGGAUUCCCUCAGGAACAGGACACACGAACUUGUCAGUGAGGGUGAAGGCAAGCAGGCAAAGAGCAAUGGCUUCCUUCUUCCAUGUGGGCUGCCACCAGAUGUGGCCAAGAGAAGCCUUCACAGGAGCUUUGAGGAUUUCUGCUGUUGGCGCCUCCUCCUGGAUGUGGAAAUUGAGUUGCUGAUGUUGGCUUGUUACUGCAUGCAGCCUUAUGUGGGUUCUUCAUAUUUAGACUCCGAGUCUCAAUUGUGUAUCAAGUGCGUUUCCCACUGAGACAUCUCUCUAAGCUACAUAGUCCCCCCUCCCUUUUUUUUUUUUAAAGAAAAGACAGUUAGGGAAACUGGACUGGUAGAGAUGUUUCUACCUGAGCCUCAAGACCUAAGUUCCAGCCCUGCAACCCAAUUGGAAAGAAAGAACCAGCUACAAGGUUUCUCCAUCUUGUCUCAGGUAUAGCUAUCUUUGGUUUCUACCCCUUGCCCUGAAAAGUUCCACAGGAAAGCAUCCAGUCCUGUUCUACAAAUUCAGAGUCAAAAUGUCCCAGAUAACUGCAUGUUCUUAGCUCUCACUGAGCUGCUUGUUUGCUUGCCCCUGCAACUGCUACCAGAAUGCAGUUUUUCUGUGUUCUUUUAAGGUU
rnacentral:lncRNA from 1 species